CAAUCCUCCGGCGGUGGCGGCGGCACCAGCCAACAACGUGGCCAAUCCUCAGGCGGUGGCAGCUGCGGCAGUGUGGAUCAACGUGGCCAACCCCCCGGCGGCACCAGAUGUGGGAGCUCUGCUGCUGAUAGUUGGGCUCGUCUUGUUGGCGAUGGUGUUGCUGCUUAGGCUGGUGCUGGCGUGACUCUGAGUAGUACGACCUCAUCGUGUGCGCGGCUAAGGAGUACCACUACUACUUAUUACGUAUAAAACUAUAAAUUAUAACCUGCAUAUAUAUAGAGAGUUUGUUGUUCGUACCAUCUAUGAACUUCAUUGCGAACCAAGUUUCUCUGGGCCUGGAACAGCAUUCGACAUGCUUUUCCUCGUCUGAAUGAUCGACUAAAUAAAGCGGCAAGUUUGUAACCCCUGCUUCUACUUCAGGCUUGGAGAAUAACUCAGCAUGGUUUUACAGUUUGGAUUGUCGACAAGAUAAACCGACUUGUACUCAUGUGCGCAUGAAUUGUUUCUGAAGCAAAUCUACAGCUUGGUACUAUAUAUCAACUAUGACCUAUAUUGCAUUUUA